ensembl:snRNA U4 U4 spliceosomal RNA
AGCUUUGCACCGUGGCAGUAUUGUAGCCGAUGAGGUUUAUCUGAGGCACAACUAUUGCUAAUUGAAAACUUUUCCCAAUACCCCGCCAUGACGACUUGAAAUAGAGUCGGCACUGGCAAUUUUUAACAGUCUCUACGGAGA